AGGAAUAUCAUCAGUACUGUCCUCUAGAUCAUUCUGACCAUCAGAACGAGCUAACCAGUACUGAAGGGGGCCGAAUUCAUAACGUCGCUCGAUCAUCCUCAUGUGGAUCAUAUUAGAAAUUCCUUGGGGAGACAUCUGGCCUACUAGUGUGAGUGUCGAUGACAUCGUUGGCGUGUUGAAGAGACCGAAGUGUCGAGCGAUACGAG
rnacentral:lncRNA from 1 species